UCGGACUCGACAGUUUGCUGCCAUGGCCUUCCUAGCUUUGAGGAGUCUGCCUACAUUCAGAAGACAAUGCGACAUCCUGAGGAAGCCUUGGAGAGAGAUUGCUGCUAGCUGAAGGAGGCAAAUGGAAGCCCUGGCCAUAAGGCUGUUAUUGCGGGCUUUAAAAGAGAAGGCACCUGAUGGAGUGUUUUUUAUCAUCUAGGCCAAACGUGGCAUCUCACUGCUACUCCUUUGAUCAAGAGGCAAAAAUAAGGGGCACAGGAUAGCCAAGAGUUCAAGCCUGGAAUAUUACAUUGGGACCUGUUGGCCAAAGAAAAGGAAGCAGCUGUAUUACAGACAAAAUGUAGACUGUAUAUUCUGAUACUAUUAAAGUGGAAAAUUGGG